ensembl:lncRNA
UAUAAACAUCAAAUAGUGUGAAACGCUUUGUUUUGAAUGUUUGCAGGUAAUGUUCUCCCAUAAGCAAGAUCCGCGUUUUGAAGUCACAAGCCCUGGAAAGUACCCACAGGGAAUAAAAGUAUGUUUCUCGGAUUUGCUCCUCAGCCUGAAGCGAGAGGAGGAGACGGUCUCUCUGUAGUGUCUUUUGUGGAUGGUGCCUUGGACCUGCAUUGCACAGCAGCCCUGCCCUGCUCCCUUCUACACCCCAGAUGCUUUCCUCACCAAAAUCACAGUGACCUUGGCAAUUCUAGAUCCUGGAAGAUAUCCACUCCUAGGGCUGGUUCAGUGUCUUAUUCAUUCCUGGCGUCUACCACUAUGUGAAGCAGAGUCCCUACCACUGAGUAGAUUCCCUUGGGGGUUACACACAUCCUGUUCUAAUUCCCCGAUUCCUUGGGGAAGCACUCAGCCUGUGACGGACGGGAAGAGGAGGGGUGCAGGCCCCGAGCCCCAUAGACAGGGAGGAGAUGGGCUGAGGCUCCUCGGCGUCUGGGCUGCCCACUUCGUCUUCUCUUCUGCCCAAGUCCAUCACUCACGUGCACCGGAAUCCCCCGAGUGCCACACACUGACCCUUGGUAAGAUUCCAUUUUUUACUUCCCUGCACCGUGACCUUCCUUGGCCAGCUCCUCAUCCUUUUAUCUGCCUUCAACCGCCUGGGGGUCGGUCCUUCAUGCCCACGCUGCCAGAGAAUGCUGGCAAUAGAAAAUGCUGGAAAAUUGGAGUGCUAGGAAGGGAAAACAACAAGCUCCUGCAGGCUUUGUGAUUUUAGGUCAUCAGAAACGUCUUUCACCGUUAGCCCUUUUUCUAAUAAUCACAACAAAUGAUCAUUUUCCGCUAAUUGUCCCACAAGGAAUAUUGCUGUUCAAGUUUUCUUCCAUGUACUCUUUGGCAGUCAUGCUAAUCAGCGGCGAGGACACAGCCCAAGGCCGACUGAGGGAGAAGGGGACAGGGAUGAGGAAGUCCCAUCAUUCUGACCCCCGACUGCUCACACAGAAAGAGAGACCUUUCUGGUCAGCAUCUGCUUUUCUUUAUUCCUACAUCUUCUUGGAAAUACCUUUCUUGAACUUGAAGACUCCCUCGAGACAUUAUUUUCCAGAUGAAGGACUUCUGCUGGAGUCUUUAAUUCACGAUAACAAGAAGAUGAAACAUUGCCGUGCCACCUCUCCGCUCAGUGCCCUUGUGUUGGAAGUUGGCUCAAGACAGACAUUAUGUAGCUCACUUCUUUCACUCCAUGUUCAGCUCCAGUAAAUAGCUAAUUCAGGCUAAACAUUGUCUCCUCUGGUCUCUCCCUGCUCUGCCCAGGUAACCUGUGAAGACAAUGAAAAUGGAGUUGGCAUUGCUAAGAGAGCUCUCUGACAUGGAGCUGGGCAACCACUGAGCAAGUGGGACCUCAGCCUGUAUGAAGUCUGACUUUUGACCAUUUCUUGUCCUACUCAAGAUAUCUAUUGGACUCUUCCCCUAAAAUAAUGUGACACCCUAACUAUUUAUCAAACCCUUACCCUAAAACAACUUGUGAUUCCUUAAAGAACAAAUAUUUCCAGACUUGCAUCAGAGUCUAUCACUAUUCUCACCUAGCAACUUUAACAAACUUUGUUAAAGACUUCUUCUCUUUCCCAGAAUACACUUUCAGUUUUCCCUGAAUCUGAAUCAGCGUCUCCUGAAUUGCAAUUCUU